CCCCACCUUCCCAGGAGCACUGAUGACAGAAGAGAUUUAGCUGUUCCAGGCCUCACAAAGGAGGUGCGUGAGCCAACACCUACCAUCCUCGUGGUGUUACCAGGCCUGUUAGCAGAGAUCUGCUGAAGGAAGUAACAACUGGAAUCUGACAGUGGAAUUUUGAAGGAAAAAAUGAGAAGAUGGUGUUUCAGUUGUGGCUAAGAGCCUCUGGACAACUCUUCAAUGCUUCUUCAGAGGAGUCAGCCAUCUCUCAAAGCCCUUCAAUACUUGCUGGCCGUCUGUGGAACUUCUUUGGAAGGCAGAAUGAAAAGAUUGCAAGUUUCAGAGCCAGUUGGACUUCAGCUUCUGGCUUAUCCAUGUCUUAAAUCCAUGACCUUGAGUAUGUUAACCUGUCUGAGCCUCAGUUUCUUCACCUUGCAAAAAAUAGGGACAAGGAUUCCAAUUCUUCAGUGUAUGUGAGAAAUUGAUGAUAUAAUGCAUGUAGAUGUGACUGUACUAUACUUGGCACAUAAUAGAUACUUAAUAAAUGUUACUUCUUCUUAA